UCUCCUGCCAGCCCACCAGCAGACCUCAGCAUCAGUGCAGAGAAGCCCUACCAAUACCUCCAAGGUCACCAUGAACGCUGACACGUGCCCACGGUGCGACGACACCGUGUACCCGGCCGAGAAGGUCGCCUACACCACCAACUGGUGGCACAAACGCUGCUUCUCUUGUGCUGACUGUGGGACAAAACUGGAUUUUACCAAUGUGGCCGACCAUGAAGGUGAAAUCUACUGUAAUAGUUGCUUUCGCACGAACUUUGGUCCGAAAUAGUUUGGUUAUGAUCUUGGCGGAGGACUACUAACUAAACUCCAGUAAAGCCAGGACCGAAGCCACGUCUCCAGGUUGUUGGACUGAGUUAAACCUGCUAACUUAGUCAUUA